UUGAGCUCUGUGCUUUCAGCGUGUGUGGGAAGGGACGGCAAGGUGCAGGUGUUGCUUCCAUGCCUGGGAUCUGACUUCAGUCUGCUCUUUGGGCUGUGGCUGCGUAUCCAUGGGCCCGGAUACUUUGAUGCGCUUUACGAGUCCCUUGGUUUGGAGACAUCCCCAUGCUCUGGGCCGUCUCUUCCCUGCACACCCGGGGAACAAAGCCUGUUGUGACGCCAGCAGAUCUGUAAGGAGCAGCCAGGCUCCGGUGGCAACAUACCUUGAAAAAUUUUCUGAAAUGUGACAGCGAUGACAACCACACAAUGACAGCAUGCCCAGGCAAAACGUUAAAAGAUGAUGAUGGUCAGAAAAAUAAAGUUUUUGAGGAGGUGAUUUUCCAUAAACAUUCUGCCUUCGUAAAACAGAGUCAUCUUGAGCAACAAAAGGCGUAUUGAAGACAUUUUCAAACCUCUGUUUUGUGAUCUCAUUCCCACGUGGAUUAAAGACGGGACCCAUGAGCUCUGGAGAGGAGAACUCGGUUUGGAGUCUGAAGACUUUGAUUCACAUUCCAGUAAUGGAACCGACCCCUGUGGCUGUGGACAAGACGAGUCUCCCACGUGGCCUCGUUUCUCAUCUGUGAAAUGGACCCAUCUGAGAAGCGGAGCUCUGACGCCCCUUCCAGCUCUAAAACCCAGAUUCUGUGGUUCUAAUCUGACGGAAAAACUGACCGCCUGACUCUACCCCAUACGAAUGUGACAGUGUGAUGUUCACACAAUAAGGAAGCUGUAGAUACGAAAUCCCCUUCGUGCAUAUAUGUUGCACUUAAGUUCUGAAGAACCCGUUUUUCAGUUUAAGCAGCUGAGUGAAUUGACGUGGCCGACGUCUGGGCUUAGCAGCUAAAGCUUUUCUGGAAACAGUCACCUUGGGGCCAGAAGGAGGAGGGGGUUCUGCUCACAGAGAUGUGACUGAGGUCCCCUGGACUGCAUGAACACGUCUCCACGUUCGUGGCCACGGCUCUCGCACCACUGACACCCAAUCCAUCCGAAUCUGUUUUAUAUUUAAGAAAAAUGUACAGUGAACACAUGACUUGUUUAUAACACACUCAUU